rnacentral:tRNA from 1 species
GGGCGUAUAGCUCAGCGGUAGAGCACUACGUUGACAUCGUAGGGGUCCCAAGUUCGAACCUUGGUACGCCCA